UGCCAGCAGCCGCGGUAAUACGGAGGGUGCAAGCGUUGUUCGGAAUUACUGGGCGUAAAGCGCGUGUAGGCGGCCAGGUCAGUCGGAUGUGAAAUCCCGGGGCUCAACCCCGGAACUGCAUCCGAUACUGCCUGGCUAGAGUCUUGGAGAGGAAGGCGGAAUUCCGGGUGUAGAGGUGAAAUUCGUAGAUAUCCGGAGGAACACCAGUGGCGAAGGCGGCCUUCUGGACAGAGACUGACGCUGAGACGCGAAAGCGUGGGGAGCAAACAGGAUUAGAUAC
rnacentral:rRNA from 1 species